CCCCCGACUCUUCCUUCUCUCUCUAACCUAAUCGCCGUUCUUCUUCUUCAUCGUCUUGGCCACGAUCUGACCGGCGCGUGACGGCUCCCACAGCGUCGGCGUCGGUCCUCUCUUUCAUGUAUUGUCUUUGAUUUCUUAGGUCUUGGAAGCGUGGUUGUUUUGGCGAGUUGGUUUGGGUUAUUGUUGAAUUUCAGAUCUGAUGGAGUUUGGUUCUAGGAGAUUGGAAUCGAAAGGGCUUUUGAUCGAUGGUGAUGAUGGAAUCGUCGUUCUCACUAUCGCAUCUAUGUGUGGUGCCUCUUCUUGUCCCUGACCACUUGCUUCAUUGUGUUUGGAGCAUCUAUGGCUUCUUCUGAUCUGAACAACGGCUCUGUUUUCUCGGUGGCUUUGAUUGGUUCACUUUGUCCGCGUGUAAGAGUUGGUGCUCCUCUUUGACUUAUCCCCAGCCGUUUUUCAAAGGUUCUUUGUGCCUGGUUUCGCUCGAGCUCAUUUCCAUGGUGGAAAUGGCAUGAUGGUGUUUGUUGCUGUGCUCUUUUUUCGGAUUGAUCUCGCUCUCUGUUCUGUCGGAUUGUUGCUGGUUGAGCCUUCAGAUUCGUUCUUCUUCGGGAUCUCCGGUCUAUUGGAGUUUGCAUGUUUGGUUGUUUCUUCUUGAGGCUCAUGUUUCUUGGUUUCAACUCCGACGCCAACCGUUUCUCUGGGAUUGUUUGCGGGUUAUGAUGGUUUCGAGUCUCAGAUUUAGUUCUUUGGUUCCUUUUGAGUUUACCUUCUUGUACCUUUUUGUUUAUAGUUUGCUUCCCUCUUUUGGGCUUAGUUUCCCGGGGAUAUUUAUGUCUUCCGCCGGCUUAGUUUCCGAAAGAGUUUCGACUCUUGUCGGUCUUGUAUUUCAAAACCGUAUUCUACCCUCGUAUAAUAUAAUGGAAUCAUUCAGACGAAAAAAAAAAAAA